AUGAUUACAUGUUCAUAUUCUAUUGAAACCAGUGAUGUCCCUUUUUUCUUUGCAGAACUCAAGCUAACUUUGGAGUUAAGGACACAGAAGCCUGCUUUGGAGUUAAGGACACAGAAGUCUGCUUGUGUGAGGAGGAGGCGGUGUUCUCAGCUUCUUCUGAAGAGAGGGAAAGACAGUUUAAGAUGUUGAAAGCCAGAGACAUAGGUGAGCAUCAUUCUUUUGAGAUUUAUGUAAGUUAUUUUUAGCAAAAUUAAUGUUUCUGUUGUCUCCUGUCUCUUUACUUCACAUUUUGAUGCAACAACAGUGUGAUUAUGUGCUCAUUUCAUUAAAACCAUCGAUGUCUGUUUUUCAUUGCAGAACUCAAACCAACUUUGGAGUUGUCUGAUUUGGAGAGUCAUCAUUCUUGGUCUUCCCUCUUAAGGGAAUAGUUCACACAAAAAAUCAUUUACUUGCCCUCAUGUCAUUCCAAACCUAUACGACUUUUGUCUGUCUUUAGAAUACAAAUGAAUAUAUUUUGAAUUUUCUCAGAUUUUUGUUAAUCCAUUGAGAGUCUAGAUAGUCAGUAUUUUCAAACCUCAUAAAUACAGAGUUAUUGUAGAAGUAAUCCAUUCUGAUAUUUAUAUAUGAUUAAAUCUUAAAUUAUAUGAUAGCAAACACGUAUGUUCAAAAUAAAAUAUUGGUCUCCCAGACUUACAAUGGAGGACAAAAAUUAAUAGAAUAUUAAAUAUAUUUAUUUGUGUUCCAAAAAUUAGCAGAGUUUGUAUGGGUCUGGAACAACAUGGGGGAGUAAAUUAUGACCAUUUUCAUUUUUUGGUGGACUAACCCUUUGAAGAGCAGCCCUCAACGUACAUGAACAUUUGUGAGGUAUGUGUGAAUGUUUCAGUAAAGUAGCUUUCUGAAAGCAAUAUAUUUAUUCAAACAAUAUCACAUGCCCUCACACUGGUGCUGCCAUUAUAGCAUUCUCGAGCGCUGACAUUAAACAACCACACAAAGUGUUGAAACUUAAACAAGAUAUUACCUCUCCUUACUGAUGUGAAUACACCUCUAUCUGAAAAUAGGAUAGUUUAAUUAAAUAGUUUAAUUCUCGAGCGCUGACAUUAAACAACCACACAAAGUGUUGAAACUUUAAAACAGAUUAUUUACCUCUCCUUACUGAUGUGAAUACACCUCUAUCUGAAAAUGGAUAGUUUAAUUAAAUGUUUUAUUUUUUCUAAAUGUGUUUCUCUUUUUAGGCCACUGAUGAAGAACAGGUGGUGACUGGGAUGAAUGCUGGUCAAAGAAGAGAAUGUCCUUUCCCCUAAACUGAUGCAACAGUGGUUUUAAAGGAGGACGCUGCCCUGGAUGAUGGAAAAGAUGUCACAUGUGCUGAUGGGGCUUCUUCAUGACUACAUCAGUUAUGCUAAAGAGAUCAUGAAAGUUGACA
rnacentral:lncRNA from 1 species